GCGUUCGUAGCUCAGUUGGAUUAGAGCGACGGACUUCGAAUCCGUAGGCCGCAGGUUCGAGUCCUGUCGGACGCA
rnacentral:tRNA from 1 species